UCCCCGUUAUCCGGGGCGGUUUCGCUAGAGUGCCCGACUUGACUCGCUGGCAACUAACGACAGGGGUUGCGCUCGUUAUAGGACUUAACCUGACACCUCACGGCACGAGCUAACGACAACCAUGCAGCACCUUGUAAAUUGUCUUGCGAAAGGCCUGUUUCCAAGCCGGUCAACCUACAUUUAAGCCCUGGUAAGGUUCCUCGCGUAUCAUCGAAUUAAACCACAUGCUCCACCGCUUGUGCGGGCCCCCGCCAAUUCCUUUGAGUUUCAUUCUUGCGAACGUACUCCCCAGGUGGGAUACUUAUCACUUUCGCUUAGCCACUCAGGUUGCCCCGAACAGCUAGUAUCCAUCGUUUACGGCGUGGACUAC
rnacentral:misc_RNA from 1 species